rnacentral:rRNA from 1 species
UACAGGGGGGGCAAGCGUUGUUCGGAAUUACUGGGCGUAAAGGGCUCGUAGGUGGCCAACUAAGUCAGACGUGAAAUCCCUCAGCUUAACUGGGGAACUGCGUCUGAUACUGGAUGGCUUGAGUUUGGGAGAGGGAUGCGGAAUUCCAGGUGUAGCGGUGAAAUGCGUAGAUAUCUGGAGGAACACCGGUGGCGAAGGCGGCAUCCUGGACCAACACUGACACUGAGGAGCGAAAGCGUGGGGAGCGAUCCGG